CAAGUGGGGCUGGAACUGGCUACGGUCCAGAUGGAGUUAGACCAGGUGGGGCUGGAACUGGCUAUGGAGACUAUGCAGGUGCCAAAGCACGCAAAUAUGGUUUGGGAGGGCUUGGCACUGGAACCAGUAUUGGUUCUGGACUUGGAAUAGGUGGAGGAAUUC